UAUUAGGUUGGUGCAAAAGUAAUGGCGGGUUUUGCCAUUGAAAGUAAUGGCAAAAACCCGCCAUUACUUUUGCACCAACCUAUA
rnacentral:pre_miRNA from 2 species